AACGAACGCUGGCGGCAUGCCUAACACAUGCAAGUCGAACGAGACCUUCGUGUCUAGUUGCGCACGUGUGCGUAACGCGUGGUAAUCUGCCCUUCGGUUGGGAAUAACUGAGAGAAAUUUCAGCUAAUACCUUAUAAUGUCUUCGGACCAAAGAUUUAUCGCCGAGGGAUGAGCCCGCGUAGGAUUAGGUAGUUGGUGGGGUAAUGGCCUACCAAGACGACGAUCCUUAGCUGGUCUGAGAGGAUGAUCAGCCACACUGGGACUGAGACACGGCCCAGACUGCUACGGGAGGCAGCAGUGGGGAAUAUUAGACAAUGGGCGAAAGCCUGAUACAGCAAUGCCGCGUGAGUGAUGAAGGCCUUAGGGUUGUAAAGCUCUUUUACCCGGGAUGAUAAUGACAGUACCGGGAGAAUAAGCUCCGGCUAACUCCGUG
rnacentral:rRNA from 1 species